GAUGAACGCUGGCGGCGUGCCUAAUACAUGCAAGUCGAGCGAACGGACGAGAAGCUUGCUUCUCUGAUGUUAGCGGCGGACGGGUGAGUAACACGUGGAUAACCUACCUAUAAGACUGGGAUAACUUCGGGAAACCGGAGCUAAUACCGGAUAAUAUUUUGAACCGCAUGGUUCAAAGGUGAAAGACGGUCUUGCUGUCACUUAUAGAUGGAUCCGCGCUGCAUUAGCUAGUUGGUAAGGUAACGGCUUACCAAGGCAACGAUGCAUAGCCGACCUGAGAGGGUGAUCGGCCACACUGGAACUGAGACACGGUCCAGACUCCUACGGGAGGCAGCAGUAGGGAAUCUUCCGCAAUGGGCGAGAGCCUGACGGAGCAACGCCGCGUGAGUGAUGAAGGUCUUCGGAUCGUAAAACUCUGUUAUUAGGGAAGAACAUAUGUGUAAGUAACUGUGCACAUCUUGACGGUACCUAAUCAGAAAGCCACGGCUAACUACGUG
rnacentral:rRNA from 1 species